AAAGGAGAUGCAGCAGUUUGGUCUAGAAGUUGUGGUGCCGGGAGUGCCGGCAACACUUGUUAAGGAUUUUAUAAGUUGGCGGAUUUCGUGAAGGGUUUGGAUAGAGUCUCGAAGAAUUAGAAGAUGAAGAUUGACGAAAAGAAUUUAAGUUUUGUGAUCAAAGACCCUUGAGAACUCAGGUAUGAUUAGAAACAAUUUGUGGUGAAGUUUUCAUUAUUAAAAGAUGUUUAGAAGACUUGUUUUUCUUUUCAUUUAUUCAAAAGUUUUCUGAAGAAAAUCA
rnacentral:lncRNA from 1 species